rnacentral:rRNA from 1 species
UAGAGGAAGUAAAAGUCGUAACAAGGUUUCUGUAGAACAAGUCCUUCCGUGGGUAACGCUUGCUGAAGCCUUAGCAGCCUGAAAGGGUGGCCCUUGACGACUAUAAACAAUCAGAGGGUCUGAAAUGCUAGUCCACCAAAGAAUUUGUGGGCAACACUGUCAAAUUGCGGGGAACCCCUAAAGACCUUGACACCAAGCGUCUGCUGGAAACAGUGGCGUGGCCGAGCUAAUUGCCCUGGGUAUGGUAAAAGUUCAAGGUAUGAGCCUGAGUGAUCGGGUGAAAUGGGCAAUCUGCAGCCAAGUCCUAAUGCCUCAGGCUAUGGAUGCUGUUCACAGGCCAAAUGGCAGUGGGUGGGAGAAUAUCUCUCCUGCUUAAGAUAUGGUCGGUCCUCCUGCGAAAGCUGGAGGGUUAAGUUUACCCCAAAUGAGAGAGUCUUCUAACCUACAGUUGUUACUAGCCAUUCUCUCAGAACAUAAUGUUCCGUAGGUGAACCUGCGGAAGGAUCAUUACCGAGUUAGGGUCUUAAAUGGCCCAACCUCCAACCCCUUGUGUACAUUGAAUUGUUGCUUCGGCAGGCCAACGUGCCUGCCGGAGCCCAAAUCAAAAACAUAUUUUAUGGUGUCGUCUGAGUUAAACAUCAAAUCAUAAAAACUUUCAACAACGGAUCUCUUGGUUCCCGCAUCGAUGAAGAACGCAGCGAAAUGCGAUAAGUAAUGUGAAUUGCAGAAUUCAGUGAAUCAUCGAAUCUUUGAACGCACAUUGCGCCCCUUGGCAUUCUGAGGGGCAUGCCUGUUCGAGCGUCAUUAUAAAAUCUCAAGCCUCUUGCUUGGUGUUGGGUCUUCGUCCCUCCCCCAUGAAAGGGGGGCUGGACGUGCCUGAAAAUCAGUGGCGGUGCCACGAUGGUCUCAAGCGUAGUAGACUCUCUCUCGCUUNGGAUGGCUUGUCGUGGCUCACCAGCCUCAUCAUAGAUGAACUUCUGAAAAAGGUUUGACCUCGGAUCAGGUAGGGAUACCCGCUGAACUUA